UUUGAGCGAGCCGAGUCGCAGCGGGCGUUCGCGGUCCUGGCCGUAGGUGGCCAGCAGUGCCUGGGCCUC
rnacentral:antisense_RNA from 1 species